AGUGCCAUUCUUCUAACGAAACAAAUAAACUAAUAAACAAAUUUAUUCAUUCUUAUUUUUCACCCUGCUCGGCUUCCUUUGUUGUUGUCGGGGAAUAUAUUCAAUAUUCCACUCUAAUCAAUUUCCGUUUAAUAAUCCCCUCUAAUAUGCACCUGCAAUUAAUAAUCCCCUCUAAUAUUCACCUGCAAUGUCUUUGCAGCACAAAAAAUGAGAAAAAACAACAUCGCGAAGGCAAUAUGGCAUUGAGAAUUAUUUCUUUUCUGACUCAUUAACGCGACCUCGGGGAUAUGUGUUUAUUCACCUCGGCGCUGCGCGCCUCGGUGAAUAAAUCACAUAUCCCCUCGUUGCCUCAAAAUAACCUAUACUUAAUGGACCUAUUCCCUAAUGAACAAAAUUUUGAUCUUGACAAGUCUAGACAGAAAUUUCAUCACAGCUUGAAAGAGCAUCACAAAAUUAGUAAUAUUCCGAAGUUUCGUUGCAAAAUGUUGUAAAAUGCGGAUAAUAUAGCCGUGCGAAGUUUGCCGUUUUUCAGUCAUUUUGUAUUACGCACGGGAAAUUGAUACCUUUUUUCAGAAAGCGGUAUCAAUUUCCCCCGCGUAAUACAAAAUGACUGAAAAACGGCAAACUUCGCAGGGCUAAAUUAUCCGCAUUUUACAACAUUUCGCAACGAAACUUCGGAAUAUUGCUAAUUUUGUGAUGCUCUUUCAAGCUGUAAUGAAAUUUUUGUCUAGACUUGUCUAGAUCAAAAUUUUGUUCAUUAGGGAAUAGGUCCAUUUGUUUCCACAAAGCUCACUUGCUUAUUACCAUAGACAAACCAGAAGACAGGGACUGGAAACGCAAGCGAAAGCGCCUAUGAUGCUACGUGCCAUCCGUGAUAUGGCUUUAAGCACGUCAAUGCAUGGGGUUGCCGCGCAACCGUGGUCUUUUUUUCAGAAAAAGCACAAUGCGAAUCCUCCGUUAUUUUUGUUUAUUUUGUGGAUAAAAAGUCAUUUAUAUAUUCUAUUUUUAGUUUAUCUUUAAGACAGAGUUAUUGUCAAGGUAAGUACGUUUUCAUUUUUAAUUUUAAUUCUAUAUAGAGGUCAUUUAAUUCCAGUUUUGUCGAAGCAUGUAAUCAAAAAUGUCGCACGUAAAAUUAGGAAGUUGCUGGGAACCCUAUAUCUGGAGAAUGAAGCUACAAAUUGUCAUUUGAAACAUGCCAUUAUCAUCUAAAAUGAAUCGAGGGUGCAUUAGAGCAGUUACAACUACGUGUGAUGUGUGAGUCCAGCAUAAACAAGCUUUUUUCACAGUGACUACAAAAUUGAUGGCUACGUCUAUACCCUCACUUUGUAACAUGUAACUAUAAUUUUAGCAAAUUACAAGACAUUUUAUGUAGAUGGUUUAAAGGAAAAUAAUACGGGCUGUGCAUUUAUCGCUUUUUCCAACUUUUUUUUGCUUUAAUGAAGCUUGAAAUCACCAUUAACUUCGUGCGUAGUAUUUUUGACUAAAAAAUGUCGCCAUUGUUGUUCUCGUAGUAUGUGCCUACUAGGAACCCUAUAACUUCACUUUUAGCGAUUUUCAAAGCAUCAUUUUUAUAUAUUUUGAACCAGAAAACAAUGGACUGUGCAUUUGUUGCUUUUUUAAUGUUCUUUUUGCUUUAAUGAAGCUUAAAAUCAUCAUUAACUUCGUGCGUAGUAUUUUUGACUAAAAAAUGUCGCCAUUGUUGUUCUCGUAGUAUGUGCCUACUAGGAACCCUAUAACUUCACUUUUAGCGAUUUUCAAAGCAUCAUUUUUAUAUAUUUUGAACCAGAAAACAAUAGGCUGUGCAUUUGUUGCUUUUUUAAUGUUCUUUUUGCUUUAAUGAAGCUUAAAAUCACCAUUAACUUCGUGCGUAGUAUUUUUGACUAAAAAAUGUCGCCAUUGUUGUUCUGCCUAGUUGGAACCCUAUAAUUUCACUUGAAGCGAUUUUCAAAGCAUCAUUUUUAUAUAUUUUGAACCAGAAAACAAUGGGCUGUGCAUUUGUUGCUUUUUCAAAGUUCUUUUUGCUUUAAUAAAGCUGAAAAUCACCAUUAACUUCGUGCGUAGUAUUUAUGACAAAAAAUGCCGCCAUUGGCAUUGUUGUUCUCGUAGUAUGUGCUUUUAUUUAUAAAACAAACUCACAUAUUGACUUAUACUCGAAACCACGUACAUAAACUUUUUAUCUUAUAGCUAGUUUAAAGGGAUAUGCACUUAUCGUCUUCAAAACUUCUUUCAGUCAUUUGAUAUUUAUAUUUAAGCUAAAAAUCGCCAAUGUCAAUAAUGAACUGUUUAAUAAAAUUUUUUACUGAUAGAUGCCAUACAAAAAAGGAUUUUCGUCUUUUUUCGAGAUUGAAAAAGCAUCAGUUUAAAGUAAUGAAAAAGGCUAAAAGUACGAAACGAAAACUAAGCAACAAUCUAGAAAAGGCCAGAAAGGUAUAAAAUACUAUAUUAAAUCAUACCUAAAAUAAAUAGUCUGUCUUUAAAUUUUGACCAAACAAUGGACUGUAAACUACCUUCUGUAUAUAAUCCCACAUCAAUUGCUUCCAUGAGUUCCAUCUCUCGAGUAAAAUGCUUUCCAAUCAUAGAUAUAUCUAUUCAUAAUCGAACAGCUAUAAACAACUCUUGAAAUGUUUUAUUCUUUUGUGAAAUCACUGAAAUGUUUCGAAAAAUGUUGAAUUUUUGUUUUAAUAAAUGAGCCCGCAAGAUCUGCAGCUGGCCGCAUCACGGAUGGCGCGCGUAAAACAUUAGGCGUUUCCAGUCCCUGUCUUCUGGAUUGUCUAUGUUAUUACAUUCGCUCAUUCACUUUGUGCAAGCAAUUCAACAUGGGUGAAAAUACCAUAUGUCGGCACUUCCCAAGAAGAAAGAUAGAAAGCAUUUUGAAUGUACAUGUGCCCAUCGCACCUCUCUCACACAUAAACCAAUUUAUAUUAUCGUAUAGCCAAAGUCUGGGAAGUCACGUUACAUCAAUUAUCAGACAGGUUUGUUGUUCGUACAGAAUGUGAUUUGGGUAUGACUUUAUUACAAACAACCUCAGCCAAAAGGAAGAAUCAUUCCAUUGAAGUGUCUUCCUUGUCAUAAUGUCUGUAUUCUGGUUUCAGUUCCCACAUGUUCUUGUGUGGAUUCUUCGUAUUGUAUACACAAAUACUCUUCAGGAUUUCUUUUAAAUGUUCCUAAAUCAAAAUAAUACAUAUACCUUAAAACUUUC
rnacentral:lncRNA from 1 species